rnacentral:misc_RNA from 1 species
AAGUCGUAACAAGGUUUCCGUAGGUGAACCUGCGGAAGGAUCAUUCUUGUAUAAUUAAUUAGUUUGCUUCGGCAAAUCUACACUAUGUGAACCGUGCUCGCUCAGUUGCAAUGCGAUUGUUUGUGUUUGUUUGUCUGUCGCUGACACAUUUAAGAGACAUGCGACUUGGCUUUUGCCUGAGUCUAAGCGUCUUGUGUUAGUGACUGCAAGCUGCACUAGCCUGCAGUCGGGUAACAAUUAAGCAGAUUUAAAGUCUAUACAACUACACUUUAUAUAUUGUCUUAAUCAAAACACUUAAACAAAGUACAACUUUUAGCAACGGAUCUCUAGGCUCUC